AGAGUUUGAUCCUGGCUCAGGACGAACGCUGGCGGCGUGCCUAAUGCAUGCAAGUCGCACGCGCGGAGCUUGCUCCGUGAGUGGCGCACGGCUGAGGACCACGUGGGAACAUGCCUCUGAGUGGGGGACAACAGCGCGAAAGCGCUGCUAAUCCCGCAUACGGUCGGUGUAUGCCGAAGAAAGCUGGCAACAGCGCUCGGAGAGUGGCCCGCGGCCCAUCAGGUCGUCGGUGGGGUAAUGGCCUACCGAGCCAAUGACGGGUAGCUGGUCUGUGAGGACAGACAGCCAGACUGGGACUGAGACACGGCCCAGACUCCUACGGGAGGCAGCAGCAAGGAAUUUUCGUCAAUGGGGGCAACCCUGAACGAGCAACGCCGCGUGGAGGAUGACGGCCUUCGGGUUGUAAACUCCUUUUUCGGGGGACGAUUGUGACGGUACCCCGGGAAUAAGGCUCGGCUAACUCUGUGCCAGCAGCCGCGGUAAGACAGAGGAGCCAAGCGUUGUCCGGAUUGACUGGGCGUAAAGCGCACGCAGGCGGUCGCGCGCGUGGGGUGUGAAAUCUGGCCGCUUAACGGCCAGGCGCCAUCCCAUACGGCGCGACUGGAGCCAUGCAGAGGGCGGUGGAAUUGCCGGUGUAGUGGUGAAAUGCGUAGAGAUCGGCAGGAACACCCAGGGGGAAACCAGCCGCCUGGGCAUGCGCUGACGCUGAGGUGCGAGAGCGUGGGGAGCGAACCGGAUUAGAUACCCGGGUAGUCCACGCCGUAAACGAUGGCCACUCGGCCUUUGGCAGCGGAACCUCCGUUGCUGGGGGCCUUAGCUAACGCGGGAAGUGGCCCGCCUGGGAACUACGAGCGCAAGCCUAAAACUCAAAGGAAUUGACGG
rnacentral:rRNA from 1 species